AUUUAUAUAAUAUAAAUUAAGUAUAUUUAACUUCCAAUUAAAAAGUUUAUUUUCAAUAAUAUAAAUA
rnacentral:tRNA from 1 species